rnacentral:tRNA from 1 species
GCCGGUGUAGCUCAAUGGUAGAGCAGGUGAUUUGUAAUCACCAGGUUGCCCGUUCGAGUCGGGCCAUCGGCUCCA